AGCAGCCGCGGUAAUUCCAGCUCCAAUAGCGUAUAUUAAAGUUGUUGCAGUUAAAAAGCUCGUAGUUGAAUUUCGGGAUCAAUUAAUUGGUCGUGCCUCUGGUACGUACUGAUUUUAUUGGUUUCUCCCUUCUGACGAACCAUGAUGUCAUUAAUUUGGUGUCGUGGAGAAUCAGGACUGUUACUUUGAAAAAUUAGAGUGUUUAAAGCAAGCUAACGCUUGAAUACAUUAGCAUGGAAUAAUGAAAUAGGACGUUUGAUCCUAUUUUGUUGGUUUCUAGGAUCGACGUAAUGAUUAAUAGGGAUAGUUGGGGGCAUUAGUAUUCAAUUGUCAGAGGUGAAAUUCUUGGAUUUAUUGAAGACUAACUACUGCGAAAGCAUUUGCCAAGGAUGUUUUCAUUAAUCAAGAACGAAAGUUAGGGGAUCGAAGACGAUCAGAUACCGUCGUAGU
rnacentral:rRNA from 1 species